ensembl:lncRNA novel transcript
AGUCCCGGCUCAGCGUCUGCCCCGGAGAGGCUGCAAGGCAAGAGGAGCAGCGGCGUUAAUCUGCUGAGGGCUGAGAGAAACGUGAGCGUUACCCUGGGCUGGCCCCUUGGCUGCUCUCCCUUACUACGGAGCUGGAAGGUGGCCCCUGACUUCUUUGCAAAGGCCGUAGGCAAGCACCCAAAGCAUAUCAUCAGGUGCCCACAAGGCACAGGACACCGGGCCGACACCUGGAGCUGGGGUGAGGCCUCCUUCAUGCCAGGCCUGGACCAUGAAGAGGAAACCACUUUCUGUCCCCAAGGAGCUCAAGUCUGAUGGGGAAGGAGCCACUGGAGUGGACGGAGUCAGGGCCUGGGAUGCCAACCACAGGACCCAGCUCUGUCAGCGAAGCAGAAAGGUUGUGCCUGGUCUCCCUGCGUCCCAGGCCAAUCCCUCCUCCUGGGUGUGUGAUCUUUGCCUGCUGAAUCCUGUCUUCCAGUUAGCCCGCGAGCUCAGGGAGUCUUCUCUGCAUGUACAGUUAUCUACUCUGUGGGGCAGGACUGUGUGGAAGGGAAACGGAGGCUGCGUGGGAGCCUGGAAGAGGAGGGUGGCACCUAGGCUAUUCCCUCUGCCAGGGAAUUCCUUCGCCCUCGUUCAGAAAACAUCUACCCAUUCGGGGUGGCUCAUGGACAGGGACUCCCAGCACUGAGCACCCAGCAGGGGCAGAGAGGUGUCUGCUGGCUGAGUGAAUGACCCUGACCAAAUGGGAAGAGAGACGCCUUCCUGGCCUGGGGGCACUGAGAUGCUGAAGCCUGGCCGCGUGGGGGUCGUCAUCAGCUGAGUCUGCGGUCCCCUGUGGUCACACAGGACCAGGUCCUCCUAGACUCCACAGCCCCCGGCCCAGGGAUGAGGAAGGUGCUGCUCGGCCCACCAUGGGCCACAGCCUUCCUGCUCAGCUCAGCCUCGGUGAUGAAUAACGCUGCCCCUGCUGUGCCACUUCCGGGCUCUCUGGGCUCCCACACUCUGCUGUGGAGGCCCAGGCUGGCUCCCUCUCGGGGUGGGUGCUGCCUCUGGAGGGUGGAGGUGAGGGGAAGGGACUGAGGGUGGCCCUGCGGGGCCUUGAUGGAGCAGCAGUGGGGACCAUGCACCUCUGAGGGUCUGGGUGAGUGGGGGCUGCAGCCAGGCCUGGCUGGCCUGGGGGAUCAGGAGGGUCUGCAAACCAAGCUCUGGGGCUCCCUGAGGUUCCAGGAAGAACCCCGCCUGUCCCGGCAAAGGUGGAUCCAGGAGAGGAGUGGGCUUGGCCACCUCGGCUGCCACCAGAAGCUGCCCCCUCAGCUCCUAUCUGUUCCCCUCUGCCCCUGGAACUUCUGAAACCACUUCCCUCCUCCCUGGACUUCUGCAGGCCGAGGUAUGACUGUUCUGUCUCCCGUUAGCAAGGUCUGCAACAUUGCUCUGAGCAGCAUCCUCCAAUGUGGUGCACCUGUUCGACAGGGGUGCAAAGGUAGGUGCUGGGGUGGGGGCAGUCAUGGACUUGCUCCCCACUCCGAAAAGCUCUCACUCCUCAGGAAAGCUCUCAAAAGCAGAGCCUGCAUCUGACUAGUCUCUGCACCCCAGUGCCUGGCAUAGCUUCUGGCCUCAGGUAGGUUUCAGGUAAGGUCUGAAUGAGUGAUUGAGGGAAACAGGUGCUGGCUUGGAGAAGAUGCUGUGGGAUAGACGGCACUGAGCUGGGUCUUGAAUGGACAGGGUUUGAGCCACCAGCCAUGCAGGAAGGGCUAUCCACAAGCAGAGACUCAAGGUAGGGAAGCACAGAGUGACCAGGGAUGCUACAGUUGGGCCAGCUGGGUGCGGGACGAUGGAGGGAAGACGUCAAACAGGGAGGAGGAGAAAAAAAUAACGCAGAGAGGGGCAGGACCGUGGCAACAACUGAACUGAAGUGCUUUAGGCAUUUCCAGAAAUCCAGUGUUCUUCUUCCCUCGGCAGCGCCUACCAGGGAAAGCAAAAGCCUGCAAGCCUCAGUGCCUGGCCCGCUCCUGGCCUGGAAAGAGGAACAGAGGGAGGACGGCGGGGCUGGGUGGUCUCCCGAUCACAAGCAUACAUUUCCCAGGCAUCUGGGCAGUGAUGGAACUGUCAACCUGGAAGUCACCUCGAAGGAGAAAUGACCGUGUGCCUCAGAUAGAACAGACCCCGGGCCCCAGGGUGGAGCACGCACUAUCCAUGAACUCAGGGUCCUAGGGGUGGAGUCCAGGGCCCUGGGUGGCAGGGCCAGGAGGAGCAGCCGGGUCUACACAGGAUGGCACCGUGCAGUGGUGGUGACGCUGAGCAGGGCCUGGUGAGCACUUGCUGGGUGAUCACCACGUGCUGGCGCUGGCACUGGCACUUCACAGUCCUCAUUGCUUUUGAGUUUUGGGAGAGGUGCAGUGAGGUGACCUGCCCAGAGGAGGGAGGCUGAUCUGAUCUGACAUCUGCCAUAGGCCUGUCCUGUCUCACAUUGGUUCCUGGCCUGUGUACUGGGCUCACCUGGAGGCUUUAAAAACAUACUGAGGCUCAGGCUUCACCCCACAAGUUUCUGAUUCAAGAGUAUGUUUUUGCCUUUUUGUUCUCACUCCCAAAGUGUCCGGAUCUGUGCUCAGAGCGCAAAGAAAUUUACUGAAAAAAAUAAAAUUAAGGAACGACAGCUCAAAGAGCCAGCAAUUUAUGCAAAUGAAUGCAAAUAAAUACACACUUCCAUAC